rnacentral:lncRNA from 1 species
CUAGAACAAAAAAGAAAAGGAUUUAGCAUUGACUUUCUUAUAGUCAUUAGAACAGCAAGAAAAGAAAAAUGUUCAAUACACUACCAUAUAAUAUUAAAAUAAAUUAGUGUUUCUCAAUGAGAGAAAACUUUAUUUCACAGGGAAUUUUAACAUUGUCUGGAGACAUUUUUGGUUGCCACAAGAGAAUGUGAAGGUAGUAGUAAUGGCAUCUAGUUGCUAAAGGCCAAAGAUACUAAUAAAGGGAUUUUCAUGUUUAUUGUAGAAAAUUUAACACACACACACACACACACACUUGUUAAAGGAAAACUAUGCCAAGCACGAUGGUGCAUGCCUAUGAUCCCAGCAGCCUGGGAGGCUGAGGCAGGAGGAUUGCAAGUUCAAAGCCAUCCUCAGCAAUUGAGCAAUGCCCUAGCAACUUAGCGAGACCCUGUUUCAAAAUAAAAAAAUAAAUAAAAAGGACUGGGGAUAAGUGCCCCUGGGCUCAAUUCCUGGUACCAAAACAACAACAACAAAAGCAGAAAACUAUUCAGGACCAUUGCAAUAGGUACAGGGGUCGCUGCAAUGGAAUUUUGCAGUGGGGAAUGGAGACUGGGCUCAAAUAUGAAUGGAUCAUGGGCAAGUGGGAAUUUAUGGCCAAGGAGCAGUAUAGGGGUCAGUGGAUGGAAAAAUUACUAAGAGGAAAUAUCAAGGGUAAGGGGGAUUCUUGCUAAACCAAGCCAACUGGAUUCUUGCUAAAGAAGUCAAGGUGAUGACACAUCAUCUGGGGAAUGGUUGAUGAUGGGCUAAGUACAGUUGUGUGUGUGUGUGUGUUCCCACAGUGACUAAGAUGAAGACUCUGUCUCUGUCUUCAAACAAUGUGUUAAAUAACCACAGACAUAUUCACAGGGUAUUAGAAUAAAGAGGAGGAGCUGUUAGCUAAUCUGAGCAUAUUACUACCUUUCUGUGAUAAAAUUAGUGCUAUGCUUAUUUUAUCAUCAUGAUUAGAUCUCUUUUAUGGUUCAGACUAAAACAUUGAUAAAGCAACUUUCUCAUUAUAAACAGAAAAGAAGAAAAAAGUUAUGGAUGUGAUGUAUAGAAGGUGCCUAAAGUAGAAUUUCAGUACUGUGAACAGCAACAAGUAAAGAAAAUG